CCCCCCACCACUGCUCCUCUGCCCAAGCAGGCUGAGGGGGCCUUGGGCCCCUUGACCUUGAAGAGUCCUGAUUCUCAAGUUUUACAAGAACAAGUGUGACCAUCACUGGGGAAUGCAAAGACGUCAACACAGAGCGCCAAGAGGGGUGUGGAGAAGAUGGCGGGCCAAGGGGUAAAAUGAACCUCUCUGAGCUGUGCACAUGGACCACUGAGGCCACGGGAGGAUGCUGACCCCUCGGCAGUGGACAUUCGGUCCAUCAGUGCAGAUCACAGCCUGCACAUGGGAAUCUCCUCAUGUGUCAUUCUUGUCUUUGUCUGUCUAUGAGCUCUCUGUAAAAGAUCUCCCAGUGUG